UACGUAGGUGGCAAGCGUUGUCCGGAUUUACUGGGUGUAAAGGGCGUGUAGGCGGGAGAGCAAGUCAGAAGUGAAAUCUAUGGGCUUAACCCAUAAACUGCUUUUGAAACUGUUUUUCUUGAGUAUCGGAGAGGCAGGCGGAAUUCCUAGUGUAGCGGUGAAAUGCGUAGAUAUUAGGAGGAACACCAGUGGCGAAGGCGGCCUGCUGGACGACAACUGACGCUGAGGCGCGAAAGCGUGGGGAGCAAACAGG
rnacentral:rRNA from 1 species